rnacentral:rRNA from 1 species
UACGUAGGGGGCAAGCGUUGUCCGGAUUUAUUGGGCGUAAAGAGCGUGUAGGCGGCUAUACAGGUCCGCUGUGAAAACUCGAGGCUCAACCGUCGAGACGUCGGUGGAAACCGUAUGGCUAGAGUCCGGAAGAGGAGAGUGGAAUUCCUGGUGUAGCGGUGAAAUGCGCAGAUAUCGGGAAGAACACCCGUGGCGAAGGCGGCUCUCUGGGACGGUACUGACGCUGAGACGCGAAAGCGUGGGGAGCA